CAGUCUGUCAGCCUUCAGGUAGUUUAGGAGCUGAGGCAUGACCUGAGAAGAGGGUGACACACAGUUAGAAAGCUGCUUCACAGCAGGGAGCACGAGACCUUCUCAGCCAGGAUGAUUAUAGGGAUCUUGGUCUUUUCCUUUUUUACCCAAAGAAACAAACCAAUAUUAGCUAUGACUUUGGUAAGGUUAGUGAAUCCAUAGCUCAAGAGCAUUUCCACCCUACCCAAAUGGAUUUUGAUGCUAACAAAUCCUUUUGGGCAGGGAAGGACAUUUAUCUUUAAUGCUUAUAUCCAUUUUUUCUAACAAAUCCACAAACCAAGAUUAAACAGUAAA
rnacentral:lncRNA from 1 species